GAUGAACGCUGGCGGCGUGCCUAAUACAUGCCAGUCGAGCGAACAGAUAAGGAGCUUGCUCCUUUGACGUUAGCGGCGGACGGGUGAGUAACACGUGGGUAACCUACCUAUAAGACUGGGAUAACUUCGGGAAACCGGAGCUAAUACCGGAUAACAUUUGGAACCGCAUGGUUCUAAAGUGAAAGAUGGUUUUGCUAUCACUUAUAGAUGGACCCGCGCCGUAUUAGCUAGUUGGUAAGGUAACGGCUUACCAAGGCAACGAUACGUAGCCGACCUGAGAGGGUGAUCGGCCACACUGGAACUGAGACACGGUCCAGACUCCUACGGGAGGCAGCAGUAGGGAAUCUUCCGCAAUGGGCGAAAGCCUGACGGAGCAACGCCGCGUGAGUGAUGAAGGGUUUCGGCUAGUAAAACUCUGUUAUUAGGGAAGAACAAACGUGUAAGUAACUGUGCACGUCUUGACGGUACCUAAUCAGAAAGCCACGGCUAACUACGUG
rnacentral:rRNA from 1 species